GCUGCCGUAGCUCAGUGGUAGAGCACUCCCUUGGUAAGGGAGAGGUCCUGAGUUCAAUCCUCAGCGGCAGCA
rnacentral:tRNA from 1 species